UCCUGUAUUUUGCUGUGUGCAGCCUCCAAGUCCUGACCCUGCAAAGCCUUUUAAUACAAGCUUUGCUUUAACUCUUUUUCUAGAGCUCAUGCCUGUGCAGGAAGGGCUACACCCAGCCAAUGUGCCCAGGCAGUGCUGUGAUCACAAAAAGAGCUGAUACUUCAUCGAAUCCAUGCCAGCUGUGAUGCCCAGGACUGGAUUUUUUGCAUCCAGCUCAGAUCCUCUCAUUCUGCAAGUGUUCCCAGGCUUUGGAAGACUGACUGCUGGAGGGAGUUACAGCCCAUCUCCUGUCCCACGGGUACAUGUGCCCAGAGGGCAUGAAGCAGCACCACCAGAGCUGCCAAAGCAGAGAUGGAGGAGACACAGACCCCACGGAAAUCUGGAAGUGGACUGGCUCCCAGCCUGACACCCCAGGCAAAUAUCUUUAUACAGAGGAUGCACAGGCAGGGCAGAGGAGGCCUCCACUUUGCUUCCCACCACUAAGGCUGCUGAGCAAGCAGCCUGUUGCAUUCUCCUCUGACUUUAAUUUGCAAAUAGCCUUAAAGGAUUGCAGAAAACAGCAUGGGAAUUUCUUUUUAAUGAUGGUAAUAAAGGUUAGGCUGUUUGUGUAAAGCCUGCAAUGUAAUCACUGAACAACAUAAGAGUACACAAGGUGUCAUGUAGAAACAAAGAGGUCACCCUGAGCAGAGGAGGGAAUGAAAGCAGAGAGAAGCAUCCAUAUUCACUGAACAAAACCUCUGCACUCUCAUGUCUGGACACUGAGCCUACCUGGGCACUAGUAAAAAUCCAAACAAAUAAAUAGAAUUGUCUCACAUCUCUUGAAUUCACCUGCCGGAGCAGUGGCUGUGUUCUUUGAUCACCCAAACAGGCAGCCUGAAAACAGUUUGAAAAGCUGAAAUUCAGGGGUGCUGGCCAUUUAGCUACUCUCUGUAUUGAAGGCCCAGAAAAAAGGAUGCCAGACAAUGUUUUUCAAUGGCCUCUUUCUUUUCCUAGGCAGAACCUGAAAAAUGCCUCUUGAUGAGCUCUCCAGAACUAAUCACCAUACACUGCUUACCUAUUCACUUUCCAGGCUGGUGAUAUUAUAGUUAUUAUGCUGUGUCCUGUCACGCCCUCAGUUCGUUAGACUCCUAAUGAGAAGACCUAAUUCCUUCCCUGGCUGGUUGGGAGGCUUGGCUAGUGGUGUUGUGUAAAUGAAGGAGAUGGUUAUUACUAUGAUCAUGAUUAUGUUUCAUUAGUAAUAACAAGGAACUGUGGUCAGGUAUGGCUUAUUUACAGGAAAUGAGAGAAAAUACCUACUUAAAAAGAAGCUUAAAGGAACUGGUGAUUUUCAUCAAAUGAGAGGAGAGAUUUGCAUGUGAAACAGAACAUGAUGAGCUUGGCAAAAAAAUCCCUACGAUCAUUAGAUCAUUAACUCCAAUUUUAAAAUUAUUUAAAUUUGCUAUGCAUUUUAUCCCAAGGAGCACUGUCUUCCUGCAAGCAUGCAGGCAAGGUCAGGAGUUCCUCACGGAAACACUUGGAGGAAGGGAAGGGUGAGCACAUAAAUUGGAUGAUUCAUAUUUCAGUGAGAACUCCACCACCCUGAGUGAGAGGAGGGUUCAAGGAGAGAGCUCCUUUCCUGUGCCAGAUGGGCCAAUGACUAAGGAAGAGAAUAAAAGACUAGGAAAGUUAAGGAUGGUCUUUUCCUUACUACAACUUCACAGCUUUUGGCAGGCAGCAGGUUUUUGCUCUCUGAAGAGGCCCAGAUGGCACCUGGACCCAAUAGUGCUGAUGAUCCCAUGAAAAGAUCUGCCUCACCCUUGUGAUUGCUCAUGAGCUGUGGUGUACCAGUGUAUCUGGGCCAGAUGCAAAUGUGUUUCAGACAGCAGAGUACUGGGGGAAAGAAUGGUGCAAGUCCCCUGUCAGGACCGUUAGGUCAUGUUUAACUGGUGAUAGUGAUCCAGUUAUCACAAGUGAUGUGCUGGCCACAACUAUUUAAAAUAUGACACAACAAAUACUUUCAAACAGUGAUUUGCUCACAGAAGCUUGCUUUCAAAGAGGCAAUGUUUUUCUUCAAGGAGUGUUUCCUUGCAGCUCAUGGACCAAGACUUAAGCCAGAAAAACCUGCUUAUGACAUGGGAAACCCCUUACCAGGUGCAAGGGGCUGUCUGUAAAGCCGUUUCCAAAGAGCAAGCUACUGAAAUCAAUGCUUAUCAAAGGCCAAUCCAGACACUAUCCCAUUCCUUCAAAUGUCCAGCAACGAGAUGUGACUCAGAGAAGUGCUGCUGUGUCCCUUAAACACGGAUGGAGAAACCCAGCACAACAACAAACAUGCCAAAACCGUUAUUACAUAUAUACAUAUAUACAUAUAUAAAUACAUUAUACCAUGUAUUGUAUCUAUUUAUUGUUUUCUAUUCUGACAUUAAUUCAAAACUCUCAUCAUGAUCCAUCUGUGCCCCAAAAAUUGUCUGCUUUUCCAGAGGAAAACAGGAAGCUCAUUAACUUCCUUUAGAAGAUACAAAUCUGUACCUCAUCAUAAACCUUAAAAAUCCCCCAUAUGAUAUCCUGUACUGGAAGGUAAUUUUUUGUAAAAAUUUGGAAUAGUUGAUACAUCUCCAACAUUCUUGUUUGCUCACAGUCUGUUCAUAGGACACCUCAGGUAUCUGAACAGAGACAUUACACUACUUCAUGACACCUGCAAAGCCUUGGAGGAAAAUCAGGUGAAGUAGAGGAAUAGGAAGAUAACUUUUACAAGGAAUAGCAAGAACAGCAUAGGAUUCUUUUUUAAUUAGACAGACAAAUUAAAACAUGAAAGAAACACUAGAUACAGUUUCUUUUUAUUUUUUCAACUGGCUAUAGCUUUAAUCUUAGCAAUUCAGAGCUUGCACAAUGGCAUCUGUACAAACAGCUGUAGUUCCCCUGUGUAAAACACACUGGAUACAGCAGUGAAUUUGCUUGAACUUGCUUUCACAGGCAGCAUGGUCUAACAAAGGAAUGGUUAAUGAUUUCUGCUAAAUAAUAGAAAGCUUCAGACACAUGGCAGUGCAGGAUGCUCCUUACUCUCCCCUUGUCCAGACACACACCUUAAACCUUACACAACCUAGAAUCUAAUUUGAGGUGGAGGGUGUUGUGGGGGGUUGGUUUGGGGCCUAUAUGGGAAUGGUAAUAAAGAGAAAUCUUCAUUUACUUUGCCUGGCUGUGGAGUAGACCAUGUGGAUUACUUUUUUAUUCACAUUUACUCUUCCAUGAGUGUUUGUAUUCAAAAAGCCUAAUAUGCCCUAUACCAAAAGAUUACAUGUAAUUGGCUUGAUGCUCAUCAACUUGAAAUGCUGGGAGGCAUCCCAGUGUAUUAAAUUUAAUUGUUUAUAUCUAGGGUACCACGCAAUAAAAAUCCCCAAAAAACAAUAAAGUUGUACAUUUUACAA